GAUGAAGAACGUAGUGAAAUGCGAUAACUAGUGUGAAUUGCAGAAUUCCGUGAAUCAUCGAGUCUUUGAACGCACAUUGCGCCCCCUGGUAUUCCGGGGGGCAUGCCUGUCCGAGCGUCAUUGCUGCCCUCAAGCACGGCUUGUGUGUUGGGCCCCGUCCUCCGAUCCCGGGGGACGGGCCCGAAAGGCAGCGGCGGCACCGCGUCCGGUCCUCGAGCGUAUGGGGCUUUGUCACCCGCUCUGUAGGCCCGGCCGGCGCUUGCCGAUCAACCCAAAUUUUUAUCCAGGUUGACCUCGGAUCAGGUAGGGAUACCCGCUGAACUUAAGCAUAUCAAUAAGCGGAGGA
rnacentral:misc_RNA from 1 species